GAUGAACGCUGGCGGCGUGCCUAAUACAUGCCAGUCGAGCGAACGGACGAGAAGCUUGCUUCUCUGAUGUUAGCGGCGGACGGGUGAGUAACACGUGGAUAACCUACCUAUAAGACUGGGAUAACUUCGGGAAACCGGAGCUAAUACCGGAUGAUAUUUUGGACCGCAUGGUUCAAAAGUGAAAGACGGUCUUGCUGUCACUUAUAGAUGGAUCCGCGCUGCAUUAGCUAGUUGGUAAGGUAACGGCUUACCAAGGCAACGAUGCAUAGCCGACCUGAGAGGGUGAUCGGCCACACUGGAACUGAAACACGGUCCAGACUCCUACGGGAGGCAGCAGUAGGGAAUCUGCCGCAAUGGGCGAAAGCCUGACGGAGCAACGCCGCGUGAGUGAUGAAGUUCUUCGGAUCGUAAAACUCUGUUAUUAGGGAAGAACAUAUGUGUAAGUAACUGUGCACAUCUUGACGGUACCUAAUCAGAAAGCCACGGCUAACUACGUG
rnacentral:rRNA from 1 species